CUAAUACAUGCAAGUCGAGCGCAGGAAGCAGACUGAUCUCCUUCGGGAGUGACGUUUGUGGAAUGAGCGGCGGACGGGUGAGUAACACGUGGGCAACCUGCCUGUAAGACCGGGAUAACUCGCGGAAACGCGAGCUAAUACCGGAUAAAGCUCCAUGCCGCAUGGCAUGAGGAUGAAAGACGGCUUUGCUGUCGCUUGCAGAUGGGCCCGCGGCGCAUUAGCUAGUUGGUGGGGUAAUGGCCUACCAAGGCGACGAUGCGUAGCCGACCUGAGAGGGUGACCGGCCACACUGGGACUGAGACGCGGCCCAGACUCCUACGGGAGGCAGCAGUAGGGAAUCUUCCGCAAUGGACGCAAGUCUGACGGAGCAACGCCGCGUGAGUGAUGAAUGUCUUCGGAUUGUAAAACUCUGUUGUUAGGGAAGAACAAGUACCGUUCGAAUAGGUCGGUACCUUGACGGUACCUAACCAGAAAGCCCCGGCUAACUACGUGCCAGCAGCCGCGGUAAUACGUAGGGGGCAAGCGUUGUCCGGAAUUAUUGGGCGUAAAGGGCGCGCAGGCGGUCUUCUAAGUCUGAUGUGAAAGCCCACGGCUUAACCGUGGAAGGUCAUUGGAAACUGGGGGACUUGAGUGCAGAAGAGGAGAGCGGAAUUCCACGUGUAGCGGUGAAAUGCGUAGAGAUGUGGAGGAACACCAGUGGCGAAGGCGG
rnacentral:rRNA from 1 species